UUCCGUAGGGGGGACUGCGGAUGGAUCAUUAACGUUCUAUUUGACAUAGAUAAACGUAAAAGAAAAAAGUAUUGAUACUAACGUCAGUUAGUAUUGAUAUCUUUCUCUCUUAUUAUUUAUUCUAUUCAAAUAAUACAAACGUACACCCUUGUGGUGAAUAUAGGAACUAGAGUGUGAUUCUAGUGAAAGUGUAAAAGAGAGUAGAGAUGGCAGCAUGAUAUUUUAUAUUAUAAUGCCAUUAACAUUCUCUUUGCUUAGCUAGAAUCGCUUCUGUCUAUUAUAUAAACGCGAAUUCUAUUUCAUUUAUUAAGACUAAAGUUUACCUUGUGGAUCAGUAACAUGAUUACCGAAGUAAAACGAAUUAAUAAAUCUAAUACAACUGCUAGCAACGGAUCACUCGGCUCUCGCGUCGAUGAAGAACGUAGCGAACUGCGAAAAUUAAUGCGACCCGCAACACGUGGUUCAUCGAGAUCUUUGAACGCAUAUUGCACCCGACAGGCUCGCUUGUCGGGUCUGCCUGUUUGAGUAUCAGAUCGGACCCAGCAGCCGACGACGGGGGCGUGGAACAGGGUUUUGCGACUCUGCUUUGCGCAUCCGCGUCGACUAGCCGGUGCUCGCUGCGCAGCAAUGUGCGGCGGAAAUGGGGUUUUGGGGGCGCGCUCGCGCAACCCCAUUCCCUGAAAUGUAUUGGCCGACCGGCGCAUCCUCGAUGUCGCUGCGCUUGGACUGCGGGCCGUUUAGCAAUGUUAAUCAUCCGCAAGGGUGUCUUUGUUAAGUUGCCGGGUUAUCUAACGAGCGUGGCGCGAUGUCCAAACCGACCACCCUUGCACAUGCACGAAAGUGUGUGCGCAAACCGCAGCGCGGGCAACCGCGUUUGCACCCACCAACUUGAUCUCAAAUCAGGCAGGAUGACCCGCUGAAUUUAAGCAUAUCAGUAAGCGGAGGAAAAGAAACUAACCAGGAUUCCCUUAGUAACGGCGAGUGAAGCGGGAAAAGCCCAAUCUGAGAAGCUGGUCGGCCCCUGCGCCGGUCCCGCGUUGUAGAUUGAUGGGGCGUUGCCUAGCGGCAGACCUUUCGGCCAAAGUCUCUUGGAACAGAGCGU
rnacentral:rRNA from 1 species